rnacentral:rRNA from 1 species
AGGACGAACGCUGGCGGCGUGCUUAACACAUGCAAGUCGAGCGAGGCCCGUCCUUCGGGACGGUGCCCUAGCGGCGAACGGGUGAGUAACACGUGGGCAACCUGCCCCUAGCACUGGGAUAACUCCGGGAAACCGGGGCUAAUACCGGAUAUGACCUUUGAGGGCAUCCUCUUUGGUGUAAAGGAUUCUGGCUAGGGAUGGGCCCGCGGCCUAUCAGCUUGUUGGUGGGGUAAUGGCCUACCAAGGCGACGACGGGUAGCCGGCCUGAGAGGGCGACCGGCCACACUGGGACUGAGACACGGCCCAGACUCCUACGGGAGGCAGCAGUGGGGAAUAUUGCACAAUGGGCGAAAGCCUGAUGCAGCGACGCCGCGUGAGGGAUGACGGCCUUGGGUUGUAAACCUCUUUCAGCAGGGACGAAGCGAAGUGACGGUACUGCAGAGAAGCACCGGCCAACUACGCGCCAGCAGCCGC